AUUGAACGCUGGCGGCAUGCCUUACACAUGCAAGUCGAACGGCAGCACGGAGCUUGCUCUGGUGGCGAGUGGCGAACGGGUGAGUAAUAUAUCGGAACGUACCCAAGAGUGGGGGAUAACGUAGCGAAAGUUACGCUAAUACCGCAUACGAUCUAAGGAUGAACGUGGGGGAUCGCAAGACCUCAUGCUCCUGGAGCGGCCGAUAUCUGAUUAGCUAGUUGGUGAGGUAAAGGCUUACCAAGGCAUCGAUCAGUAGCUGGUCUGAGAGGACGACCAGCCGCACUGGAACUGAGACACGGUCCAGACUCCUACGGGAGGCAGCAGUGGGGAAUUUUGGACAAUGGGGGCAACCCUGAUCCAGCAAUGCCGCGUGAGUGAAGAAGGCCUUCGGGUUGUAAAGCUCUUUUGUCAGGGAAGAAACGGUGAAGGCUAAUAUCCUUUGCUAAUGACGGUACCUGAAGAAUAAGCACCGGCUAACUACGUGCCAGCCGCCGCCGUAACAC
rnacentral:rRNA from 1 species